rnacentral:rRNA from 1 species
AGAGUUGAUCAUGGCUCAGAACGAACGCUGGCGGCGCGUUUAAGCAUGCAAGUCGAGCGGCAAGGGCCUUCGGGCCCCUAGAGCGGCGGACGGGUGAGUAACACGUGGACAAUCUGCCCCCCGGCCCGGGAUAGCCCAGGGAAACCUGGAUUAAUACCGGAUGAGACGGGACCCGCGAUGGCGGGAUCCGGGAAAGGCGCUGCGGCGCCGCCGGGGGAUGAGUCUGCGUCCCAUUAGCUAGACGGCGGGUAACGGCCCACCGUGGCGACGAUGGGUAGCCGGCCUGAGAGGGUGGACGGCCACAUUGGAACUGAGACACGGUCCAGACUCCUACGGGAGGCAGCAGCUAAGAAUCUUCCGCAAUGGGCGAAAGCCUGACGGAAGCGACGCCGCGUGAACGAAGAAGGCCGUGAGGUUGUAAAGUUCUUUUCGGGAGGGGGAACAACCGUGGCAGGGAAUGGCCGCGGGAUGACGUGAAUCCCGGAAUAAGCCCCGGCUAACUACGUGCCAGCCGCGGC